GAUGAACGCUGGCGGCGCGCCUAACACAUGCAAGUCGAACGAUUAAAGCACCUUCGGGUGUGUAUAAAGUGGCGAACGGCUGAGUAACACGUGGGCAACCUGCCCCUUUCAUUGGGAUAGCCACGGGAAACCGUGGAUAAUACCGAAUACUUCGAGACUUCCGCAUGGAAGACUCGAGAAAGCUCCGGCGGAGAGGGAUGGGCCCGCGGCCUGUUAGCUUGUUGGUGGGGUAACGACCUACCAAGGCAAUGAUGGGUAGCUGGGUUGAGAGACCGACCAGCCAGAUUGGGACUGAGACACGGCCCAGACUCCUACGGGAGGCAGCAGUGGGGAAUCUGGCACAAUGGGCGAAAGCCGGAUGCAGCGACGCCGCGUGCGGGAUGAAGGCCUUCGGGUGGUAAACCGAUUUCAGCAGGGACGAGGCGAAAGUGACGGUACCUGCAGAAGAAGCCCCGGCUAACUACGU
rnacentral:rRNA from 1 species